rnacentral:tRNA from 1 species
AAUAAAAUGGCUGAAUGAGGCGAUAAAUUGUAAAUUUAUUUAUGAAAUUUUUUUUCUUUUAUUA